UACGUAGGGUGCGAGCGUUGUCCGGAAUUAUUGGGCGUAAAGAGCUUGUAGGCGGCUUGUCGCGUCUGCUGUGAAAAUCCGAGGCUCAACCUCGGACUUGCAGUGGGUACGGGCAGGCUAGAGUGUGGUAGGGGAGACUGGAAUUCCUGGUGUAGCGGUGAAAUGCGCAGAUAUCAGGAGGAACACCGAUGGCGAAGGCAGGUCUCUGGGCCACUACUGACGCUGAGGAGCGAAAGCGUGGGGAGCGAACAGG
rnacentral:rRNA from 1 species